UGCUUCGGGAGGUAUCUGUGUAGAGUC
rnacentral:sRNA from 1 species